rnacentral:rRNA from 1 species
AUUGAACGCCGGCGGCAGGCCUAACACAUGCAAGUCGAGCGGAUGACGGGAGCUUGCUCCUUGAUUCAGCGGCGGACGGGUGAGUAAUGCCUAUGAAUCUGCCUGGUAGUGGGGGACCACGUUUCGAAAGGAACGCUAAUACCGCAUACGUCCUACGGGAGAAAGCAGGGGACCUUCGGGCCGUGCGCUAUCAGAUGAGCCUAGGUCGGAUUAGCUAGUAGGUGAGGUAAGGGCUCACCUAGGCGACGCUCCGUAACUGGUCUGAGAGGAUGAUCAGUCACACUGUAACUGAGACACGGUCCAGACUCCUACGGGAGGCAGCAGUGGGGAAUAUUGGACAAUGGGCGAAAGCCUGAUCCAGCCAUGCCGCGUGUGUGAAGAAGGUCUUCGGAUUGUAAAGCACUUUAAGUUGGGAGGAAGGGCAGUAAGUUAAUACCUUGCUGUUUUGACGUUACCGACAGAAUAAGCACCGGCUAACUCUGUGCCAGCCGCCGCCGUAAAAC